rnacentral:rRNA from 1 species
UACGGAGGGUGCAAGCGUUAUCCGGAUUCACUGGGUUUAAAGGGUGCGUAGGUGGGCAGGUAAGUCAGUGGUGAAAUCUCCGGGCUUAACCCGGAAACUGCCAUUGAUACUAUUUGUCUUGAAUACUGUGGAGGUCAGCGGAAUAUGUCAUGUAGCGGUGAAAUGCUUAGAUAUGACAUAGAACACCAAUUGCGAAGGCAGCUGGCUACACAAAUAUUGACACUGAGGCACGAAAGCGUGGGGAUCAAACGGG